UGGGAGUAUAGCUCAGCCUGGUAGAGCAUUGGUCUUAUACACCAAGUGUCGGAGGUUCGAAUCCUCCUACUCCCAUCCA
rnacentral:tRNA from 1 species